AAAAAGCGGAGGAAAAGAAACCAACAGUGAUUGCCUAGUAACGGCGAGUGAAGCGGCAAAAGCUCAAAUUUUAAAGCUGGCAUCUUCGGUGUCCGCGUUGUAAUUUUGUGAGGCAUCUCCGGGUAGGGCGCCAGCCUAAGUUCCUUGGAACAGGACGUCACAGAGGGUGAGAAUCCCGUGCUUGGCUGGCUGUCCCCGCCCACGUGAGGCGUCUUCGACGAGUCGAGUUGUUUGGGAAUGCAGCUCAAAAUGGGUGGUAAAUUUCAUCUAAAGCUAAAUAUUGGUGGGAGACCGAUAGCGCACAAGUAGAGUGAUCGAAAGAUGAAAAGCACUUUGAAAAUAGAGUUAAAAAGUACGUGAAAUUGUUGAAAGGGAAGCGCUUGAGACCAGACUUCGGUAGGGGGUGAUCAGCCGUCCUUCUGGGCGGUGCACUUGCCCCCCUCCGGGCCAGCAUCGGUUGAGGCGGCGGGAUAAAGGUCCCGGGAACGUGGCUCCUUCACGGGAGUGUUAUAGCCCGGGUGAAUGCCGCCAGCCUCGACCGAGGACCGCGCCCGCAAGGGUAUGGAUGCUUGGCAUAAUGGUCUUCAGCGACCCGUCUUAA
rnacentral:rRNA from 1 species